AGUUAUCCACUUAGAUCUAUAUAAUUUAUCCACUUAUAUCUAUAUAAAGUUAUCCACUUAGAUCUAUAUAAAGUUAUCCACUUAGAUCUAUAUAAAGUUAUCCACUUAGAUCUAUAUAAAGUUAUCCACUUAGAUCUAUAUAAAGUUAUCCACUUAGAUCUAUAUAAAGUUAUCCACUUAGAUCUAUAUAAAGUUAUCCACUUA